CCUACGGGGGGCAGCAGUGGGGAAUAUUGGGCAAUGGCGGCAACUCUGACCCAGCAACGCCGCGUGAAUGAUGAAGGUCUUCGGAUUGUAAAGUUCUGUGAUGGGGGAUGAACAACAUGACGGUACCCCAAUAGCAAGCCACGGCUAACUUCGUGCCAGCAGCCGCGGUAAUACGUAGGUGGCAAGCGUUAUCCGGAAUGACUGGGCCUAAGGGUUGCGUAGGUGGUUUAGUAAGUUGGCGGUGUAAUUCCGGGGCUCACCCUGUGCGCUACCGCCCAAACUGUUAGACUAGAGUGCAGGAGGGGUGAGAGGAAUGCCUGGUGUAGCGGUGAAAUGCGUAGAUAUUA
rnacentral:rRNA from 1 species